CAGAGUACUUAAUCAUCUUAAUCCUUUUAUUCCCUAUAUUAUAAUCUUUGUCAAUAUUGCAAUUGGAACUACAUUGGAACUCAGAAUUGGUUAUCAACUCGUCCGCGAUUACAAUUACCACAUUUGCUUUCGGUAAAAAUAUCAACAUAACCAGUUACAUCGCUGUUCUAAACGGUGAACGGACGCUUUCAACGACGAAAAGUGUUUGUGAUUAGUUGCGACUAUUCAAGAAUUAUGACAUACGCCUUUAUCAUAGUUGUUUCUGUGGCUAUUACGUUGAAACUUCUGUUUAUGAGCCUGUCUCUGUACUUUACACUUAAAUAUGACAGCCCCGAGAAGUCAGAGGCUGGCAACACUAAGCGAAGCGGCAAAGGUAUCAUGGCAAAGUGUAAGCAAAUAACACGGGCAUUUAUGCCCAAAGUCAGCUGUUAUGCCGACGGAAAAGAUAAAUAUGAUCUGAAUAUUUAUAACAAUUAGGCAAAUAGCUGCCUAAGAUAUACAAAAUUAGACACUACUACUUAUGUAUUACAUUUACCUAUAUACACGAUUUUUUUUAA